UACGUAGGUGGCAAGCGUUGUCCGGAAUUAUUGGGCGUAAAGCGCGCGCAGGCGGUCCCUUAAGUCUGAUGUGAAAGCCCACGGCUCAACCGUGGAGGGUCAUUGGAAACUGGGGGACUUGAGUGCAGAAGAGGAAAGUGGAAUUCCAUGUGUAGCGGUGAAAUGCGUAGAGAUGUGGAGGAACACCAGUGGCGAAGGCGACUUUCUGGUCUGUAACUGACGCUGAGGAGCGAAAGGGUGGGGAGCAAACAGG
rnacentral:rRNA from 1 species